rnacentral:rRNA from 1 species
GACGAACGCUGGCGGCGUGCUUGACACAUGCAAGUCGAACGGAAAGGCCUGCUUUCCCUUGUGGAUUGCGGGUACUCGAGUGGCGAACGGGUGAGUAACACGUGAGUGAUCUGCCCCCAACUUGGGUAUAAGCCUGGGAAACUGGGUCUAAUUCCCGAUAGGACUGCAGGGUGGUGCCUGUGGUGGAAAACGAUUUUCUAGUGGUUGGGGAUGAGCUCGCGGCCUAUCAGCUUGUUGGUGGGGUAAUGGCCUACCAAGGCGGCGACGGGUAGCCGGCCUGAGAGGGUGGACGGCCACAUUGGGACUGAGAUACGGCCCAGAAUCAUACGGGAGGCAGCAGUGGGGAAUAUUGCACAAGGGGAGGAAGCCUGAUGCAGCGACGACGAGUGGGGGAUGACGGCCUUCGGGUUGUAAACUCCUUUCGACCGCGAGGAAGCCACCUGGUUGGAAGGGUGGUGACGGUAGUGGUAGAAGAAGCACCGGCUAACUACGUG